GCCUUUGUAGUGUAAUGGCAACACACUCGAAGAGUACUCGAGAGGUCCAGGUUCGAGUCCUGGCGAGGACA
rnacentral:tRNA from 1 species